rnacentral:rRNA from 1 species
UACGUAGGGUGCGAGCGUUAAUCGGAAUUACUGGGCGUAAAGCGUGCGCAGGCGGUCUGUUAAGACCGAUGUGAAAUCCCCGGGCUUAACCUGGGAACUGCAUUGGUGACUGGCAGGCUUUGAGUGUGGCAGAGGGAGGUAGAAUUCCACGUGUAGCAGUGAAAUGCGUAGAGAUGUGGAGGAAUACCGAUGGCGAAGGCAGCCUCCUGGGCCAACACUGACGCUUAUGCACGAAAGCGUGGGGAGCAAACAGG